GUCUAUGACCAGGCCACCCUGAAAGUGCCCGAUCUUGUCUGAUCUCAGAAGUUAAGCAGGGUCGGGCCUGGUUAGUACUUGGAUAGAAGACAACCUAGGAAUACUAGGUGCUGUAGGCA
rnacentral:rRNA from 1 species